rnacentral:rRNA from 1 species
GAUGAACGCUGGCGGCGUGCCUAAUACAUGCAAGUCGAGCGAACGGACGAGAAGCUUGCUUCUCUGAUGUUAGCGGCGGACGGGUGAGUAACACGUGGAUAACCUACCUAUAAGACUGGGAUAACUUCGGGAAACCGGAGCUAAUACCGGAUAAUAUUUUGAACCGCAUGGUUCAAAAGUAAAAGACGGUCUUGCUGUCACUUAUAGGUGGAUCCGCGCUGCAUUAGCUAGUUGGUAAGGUAACGGCUUACCAAGGCAACGAUGCAUAGCCGACCUGAGAGGGUGAUCGGCCACACUGGAACUGAGACACGGUCCAGACUCCUACGGGAGGCAGCAGUAGGGAAUCUUCCGCAAUGGGCGAAAGCCUGACGGAGCAACGCCGCGUGAGUGAUGAAGGUCUUCGGAUCGUAAAACUCUGUUAUUAGGGAAGAACAUAUGUGUAAGUAACUGUGCACAUCUUGACGGUACCUAAUCAGAAAGCCACGGCUAACUACGUG